UGCCAGCAGCCGCGGUAAUACGGAGGGUGCAAGCGUUAAUCGGAAUCACUGGGCGUAAAGCGCGCGUAGGCGGUUGUGUAAGUCGGAUGUGAAAGCCCAGGGCUUAACCUUGGAACUGCAUUCGAUACUGCAUGACUAGAGUGUGGUAGAGGGAGGUGGAAUUUCCUGUGUAGCGGUGAAAUGCGUAGAUAUAGGAAGGAACACCAGUGGCGAAGGCGGCUUUCUGGACCAAUACUGACGCUGAGAUGCGAAAGCGUGGGAAGCGAACAGGAUUAGAUA
rnacentral:rRNA from 1 species